CGCUAGCUACAGGCUUAACACAUGCAAGUCGAGGGGCAGCAGAUCGAAAGCUUGCUUUUGAUGCUGGCGACCGGCGCACGGGUGAGUAACGCGUAUCCAACCUUCCCUAUAGUAGAGAAUAGCCCGGCGAAAGUCGGAUUAAUGCUCUAUGUUGUAUUUAGAAGACAUCUGAAGAAUACCAAAGGUUUUACCGCUAUAGGAUGGGGAUGCGUCUGAUUAGGUAGUAGGCGGGGUAACGGCCCACCUAGCCGACGAUCAGUAGGGGUUCUGAGAGGAAGGUCCCCCACAUUGGAACUGAGACACGGUCCAAACUCCUACGGGAGGCAGCAGUGAGGAAUAUUGGUCAAUGGACGGAAGUCUGAACCAGCCAAGUAAGCGUGCAGGAUGACGGCCCUAUGGGUUGUAAACUGCUUUUAUAUAGGGAUAAAGUCGGGGACGUGUCCCCGUUUGUAGGUACUAUAUGAAUAAGGACCGGCUAAUUCCGUGCCAGCCGCCGC
rnacentral:rRNA from 1 species